rnacentral:misc_RNA from 1 species
GAUGAAGAACGUAGCGAAAUGCGAUACUUGGUGUGAAUUGCAGAAUCCCGUGAACCAUCGAGUCUUUGAACGCAAGUUGCGCCCGAAGCCUCGGCUAAGGGCACGUCUGCCUGGGCGUCACGCAUCGCGUCUCCCCCAAACCGCCAAGGCGGAAGGGAAGGAAGAUGGCUUCCCGUGCCUCACCCGGGCGCGGUUGGCCUAAAUUUGGAGCCCGCGGCACUUAGCUCUCGCGGCGAUAGGUGGUGAACAAGGCCUUGGCCGUGCAAACAACCCGCUGCGAAGCUCUAUGUCACGUGCGCUCGUCGGACCCUUUGAAGUUGCCUUCGGUGACUUAAAACCUUUGCGACCCCAGGUCAGGCGGGGCUACCCGCUGAAUUUAAGCAUAUCAUAAGCGGGG